CUUAGAUAUAACGCAGAACCCCAAUUGCGAAGGCAGCAUGCUGGACCAUUACUGACGCUGAGGCACGAAAGCGUGGGGAUCAAACAGGAUUAGAUACCCUGGUAGUCCACGCCGUAAACUAUGAAUGCUAGCUAUUGGCGAUAUACAGUCAGUGGCACAGAGAAAUCGUUAAGCAUUCCACCUGGGGAGUACGCCGGCAACGGUGAAACUCAAAGGAAUUGACGGGGGCCCGCACAAGCGGAGGAACAUGUGGUUUAAUUCGAUGAUACGCGAGGAACCUUACCCGGGUUUGAACGCAGGGAGAAUAUAGUGGAAACAUUAUAGCUAGCAAUAGCCGCCUGCGAGGUGCUGCAUGGUUGUCGUCAGCUCGUGCCGUGAGGUGUCGGCUUAAGUGCCAUAACGAGCGCAACCCUUAUCGAUAGUUACUAACAGGUUAAGCUGAGGACUCUAUUGAGACUGCCAGCGUAAGCUGUGAGGAAGGUGGGGAUGACGUCAAAUCAGCACGGCCCUUACAUCCGGGGCGACACACGUGUUACAAUGGUGGGUACAGAAGGCCGCUACCUGGUGACAGGAUGCCAAUCUCCAAAACCCAUCUCAGUUCGGAUCGGAGUCUGCAACUCGACUCCGUGAAGCUGGAUUCGCUAGUAAUCGCGCAUCAGCCAUGGCGCGGUGAAUACGUUCCCGGGCCUUGUACACACCGCCCGUCAAACAAUGGAAGUUGGGGGUACCUAAAGUCUGCAACCGCAAGGAGCGGCCUAGGGUAAAACCGAUAACUGGUGUUAAGU
rnacentral:rRNA from 1 species